rnacentral:rRNA from 1 species
GACGAACGCUGGCGGCGUGCUUAACACAUGCAAGUCGAACGGAAAGGCCCUGCUUGCAGGGUACUCGAGUGGCGAACGGGUGAGUAACACGUGGGUGAUCUGCCCUGCACUUCGGGAUAAGCCUGGGAAACUGGGUCUAAUACCGGAUAGGAGCCAUUUUUAGUGUGAUGGUUGGAAAGUUUUUUCGGUGUAGGAUGAGCUCGCGGCCUAUCAGCUUGUUGGUGGGGUAAUGGCCUACCAAGGCGGCGACGGGUAGCCGGCCUGAGAGGGUGGACGGCCACAUUGGGACUGAGAUACGGCCCAGACUCCUACGGGAGGCAGCAGUGGGGAAUAAUGCACAAUGGGCGCAAGCCUGAUGCAGCGACGCCGCGUGGGGGAUGACGGCCUUCGGGUUGUAAACUCCUUUCGCUAGGGACGAAGCUUUUUGUGACGGUACCUAGAUAAGAAGCACCGGCUAACUACGU